rnacentral:rRNA from 1 species
AUACGGAGGAUCCGAGCGUUAUCCGGAUUUAUUGGGUUUAAAGGGAGCGUAGGCGGACGCUUAAGUCAGUUGUGAAAGUUUGCGGCUCAACCGUAAAAUUGCAGUUGAUACUGGGUGUCUUGAGUACAGUAGAGGCCGGCGGAAUUGGUGGGGGAUGGGGGGAAUGCUUAGAUAUCACGAAGAACUCCGAUUGCGAAGGCAGCCUGCUGGACUGUAACUGACGCUGAUGCUCGAAAGUGUGGGUAUCAAACAGGAUUAGAUACCCUGGUAGUCCACACAGUAAACGAUGAAUACUCGCUGUUUGCGAUAUACAGUAAGCGGCCAAGCGAAAGCGUUAAGUAUUCCACCUGGGGAGUACGCCGGCAACGGUGAAACUCAAAGGAAUUGACGGGG